rnacentral:tRNA from 1 species
ACUUAAAUAGCUUAUUGAUUUAGAGCGCGACACUGAAGAUGUUGAUGAGGCUAUUAUUUGCCUUUAAGUG